GUACAUGCCAUAUAUUCUUCAUCCACAGUGGAGAAGCAAGAUUAUGUAACAGAAUAAAUAAACUCCAUUUGGUUUGGUUUGUGAAUUCAAGAAAUCAGUCAAAGGAGGCGUUGGAGCCUCCUCACUAGACAUAUGGGGAAGUUAUAUGGGAAAGCCAAAAUAUUUCUAAUUCAUCUGUGAAGCCUAGAUUCUCAAGUUUGGAUUCAUCUCUGUUCUUUUCCUUUCUUAGUCCUGCCCUAAAAUGUUGCUUUUAAAGAUCUCAGACAUCUUGAAUCAUGCAAGAUUUUACAGAAGUGCAAGGAACUAUAUCAAAUGCUCGCCCUAUGCCAGUACUUGCUGAUGGCCUCUAGGAUUAGACAACUCCCAAGGCCUUCUGAAUGAGAGACUGUAGACCUGAGAGAGACUGGACGUUGGUUUCCCAGAUGGUGCUUCAGAAAAGCAAGGGCUGUUUACAGAAAAAUCAAUGUGUAAAAUGAAUGGCAUCUUCAGAGCAAGCAGAAUUUCCAACCCAAGUAUUCUCUGGAGAAUGAGAAAUGCUCACCAAGUAUCUGUAGAAUGAAGAGACGGUUAUUAAAGGAAGACUGUGGCCACAGACACCCAGGAGCACAGUGAUCAGACAGGUAGAGGUGAUUACUGUUCUGCCCCAGUGAAUUUUUCCCUAUGCACAAGUAGAGGCAGCAAGGGAAAUAACCCACAGGUCAGUCAGACAAAGCAGGGCUUAGUAAUAUGGACAUGGCUGGAGCGUGAAGAUAAUGUGAUCAUUGUCAUUUUUCGUGCCGGUAAUGAGCAAGGAAGGGAAAACUGGACAAUCCAGUCAGAUCAUUAUUUUUAAAUAGACAGGUUCCAGAAGGUUCGAU